UACAUCUGUAAUAACUCCUGCAACACAAAAACAGCAGAGUAUCUGAUUAAUUUCAUUACAUGAUGCUGAUGAAUGUAUAACAUGAAUGAUGUCGUAAGAUGAUGAUGAUACCUUGGAUACUUGGCGCCUAAAAUGUCUUUCUGGCCAUAUUUUCUCCAGCUGAAGACAUCAUCAUGAGGUUCAAAAUUGUACCUCUUUUUAGAGCUCAAGUUGUAAUCUUUCGAUCCUCCGCCAUCAAUAAACUCUUCACUUCUCGGACUUCCGUUGAUCGAAGUCGGAGAUUCUGGAACUUUACCGGUGUUAGCUACAGGAUUCGCCGCAAGAUUUACCAUCUCCGCCAUCUGACUGUGUACUACGCUGGAACCGUUGAGCAUCAAAAUAGCUUUCUCAUAGGAAGAAACGAUCUGAUGUAGGAGGGUUUCUCUCAUCUCCGUCGUCAUACAUAAGGAAGAAGAAGACAACGAUGGUGGUGGCGGAGAAGGAGCUGUUCCGAGCUCAGCUUGGAGCUGCUUUGCCGCCUUCAGCCCAUGAACCAGCUCACUUAGCAAAUUCUUCUGCUCCCAGUUCGACAUAUCCAUAUUAUCUCACCAAAAGUGUAAUUUGGUCAGUGCCAAUGUUUCCGAUCAAAGAAGCCCUUGCCGGAUACUUACCGGUGAAGCGAUCACCGGAAAAAAUAGUUAAUAGCAGUACCUUAUAUAGAUUUCUUGGUAGCAGUUUUGACACAGAAGGGGAGGAAAUGUAAUGUUUAUAAAACACGGUUAUCUUUUAGCUCCUUAUGGUAAGGUUUAGAUUAAGAAUUUAUAGGAUUGAGGAGGAGAAAAACGUAAGCUUUUGGGGUUGUGGUUAGAUGAAGAUUGAUUUCUUUUGAAAUUUAAAGGCUUUAGAUCUGAA